GACGUAGGGCGCGAGCGUUGUCCGGAUUUAUUGGGCGUAAAGAGCUCGUAGGCGGCUUGUCGCGUCGUCCGUGAAAACUUGGGGCUCAACCCCAAGCUUGCGGUCGAUACGGGCAGGCUAGAGUUCGGUAGGGGAGACUGGAAUUCCUGGUGUAGCGGUGAAAUGCGCAGAUAUCAGGAAGAACACCAAUGGCGAAGGCAGCUCUCUGGGACGGUACUGACGCUGAGACGCGAAAGCGUGGGGAGCGAACAGG
rnacentral:rRNA from 1 species